rnacentral:rRNA from 1 species
UCCAGACUCCUACGGGAGGCAGCAGUGGGGGAUAUUGCACAAUGGGGGGAACCCUGAUGCAGCGACGCCGCGUGGGUGAAGGAGCGUUUCGGCGCGUAAAGCCCUAUCGGCAGGGAAGAAGGAGGACGGUACCUGACUAAGAAGCCCCGGCUAACUACGUGCCAGCAGCCGCGGUAAUACGUAGGGGGCAAGCGUUAUCCGGAUUUACUGGGUGUAAAGGGGGCGCAGACGGCAGCGCAAGCCAGGAGUGAAAGCCCGGGGCCCAACCCCGGGACUGCUCUUGGAACUGCGCGGCUGGAGUGCAGGAGGGGCGGGCGGAAUUCCUGGUGUAGCGGUGAAAUGCGUAGAUAUCAGGAGGAACACCGGUGGCGAAGGCGGCCUGCUGGACUGCGACUGACGUUGAGGCCCGAAAGCGUGGGGAGCAAACAGGAUUAGAUACCCCCGUAAA